CCAAUAGCGUAUAUUAAAGUUGUUGCAGUUAAAAAGCUCGUAGUUGAACUUCGGAAUUUGCCCAUUGGUCAGGCUUAACUGUCUGAACUGGUGUGACGAGUUCCUACCUUCUGAGGAAUCUUCAUGCCAUUCAGUUGGUGUGGGGGGAAAUCAGGACUGUUACUUUGAAAAAAUUAGAGUGUUUAAAGCAGGCAUCCGUCUGAAUACAUUAGCAUGGAAUAAUAAAAUAGGACGGUUUGGUUCUAUUUUGUUGGUUUCUAGGAUCACCGUAAUGAUUAAUAGGGAUAGUUGGGGGCAUUAGUAUUCAAUUGUCAGAGGUGAAAUUCUUGGAUUUAUUGAAGACUAACUACUGCGAAAGCAUUUGCCAAGGAUGUUUUCAUUAAUCAAGAACGAAAGUUAGGGGAUCGAAGACGAUCAGAUACCGUCGUAGUCUUAACCAUAAACUAUGCCGACUAGGGAUCGGACGAAGUUAAUUUUUAAAUGACUCGUUCGGCACCUUACG
rnacentral:ncRNA from 2 species